CAGUGGGGAUAUCCCACGGGGCCACUGACCCUGGGCUCUGUUCCCUGGCACAGGGAGUAUAGGGUAUCAGGAUGCAGAGUCCCCUCCACAACAUUAGACACAAAGUAGUCUUUGUGUCCUCAGCUGUAUGUUCCUGCAGCUGCUCAGAGUCCUGACAACAGUGAGCUAGAAGUUAAAUGGCAGGAAAUACAU
rnacentral:snoRNA from 1 species